AGGGGGCUUCGGCCCCUGAGUAGAGCGGCGCACGGGUGCGUAAGACGCGGGUGACCUAUCCCCGAGGCGGGGAUAACCCUUCGAAAGAGGGGCUAAUACCGGAUGCGCCCCCGGGCAGAGAUGCCUGGGGGCAAAGGGUGCCGCUUGCUAGCGGCAUCCCCUGGCGGCGGGGCCCGCGGCCUAUCAGCUCGUUGGUAAGGUAAUGGCUUACCAAGGCGAAGACGGGUAGCUGGUCUGAGAGGAUGGCCAGCCACACGGGGACUGAGACACGGCCCCGACUCCUACGGGAGGCAGCAGUGGGGAAUAUUGGGCAAUGGGCGCAAGCCUGACCCAGCGACGCCGCGUGGGUGAUGAAGGCCUUCGGGUCGUAAAGCCCUGUCGGGUGGAAAGAAUUGAGGACUGGGCCAAUAGCCCAGUCCUGUGACGGUACCACCGAAGGAAGCACCGGCCAAUUCCGUGCCAGCAGCCGCGGUAAGACGGAAGGUGCAAGCGUUGCUCGGAAUCACUGGGCGUAAAGGGUGCGUAGGCGGCCGCGCAAGUCUGGCGUGAAAGCCCCGGGCUCAGCCCGGGAAGGGCGCUCGAAACGGCGCGGCUGGAGUGCCGGAGGGGAGAGUGGAAUUCCUGGUGUAGCGGUGAAAUGCGUAGAGAUCAGGAGGAAUACCGGUGGCGAAAGCGACUCUCUGGACGGCAACUGACGCUGAGGCACGAAAGCGUGGGGAGCAAACAGGAUUAGAUACCCUGGUAGUCCACGCCGUAAACGAUGGGCACUAGGUGUCGGGGGUAUCCACUCCCUCGGUGCC
rnacentral:rRNA from 1 species